rnacentral:lncRNA from 1 species
CAGGAAGAAAAGAAAAGAGGACAAGCCCACCCCCUUUUCCUUAAAACCCUAGCCUAGCACAGUGCCAGGUACCCUGGAAAUGUCAGAAAAUAUGCCUGGAUGUUGUGUAAACACGUCUCCUUAGAGCUUGAGGAAGACACUACACCCUGGAGUGUGAGUUGAAUGGAGCUGACUGAGUGGCCAAUUGUUUUGUUCUUUUAUUUUUUUUAAUUUACAAAUAAUAAUUGCAAAUAUGUAUGGCAUACAGUGUGAAGUUUGAUACAUUUUUACAUUGUAGAAUGAUCAAAUCAGGCUAGUUAACGUAUCCAUCACCUCACAUACUUACCCUUUCUUUGUGGUGAGAACAUUUAAAAUCUACUCCUUUUUAGCAUGCCGCGUUAUUCACAAAAGCCAAGAUACGGAAACAACCUAAGUGGCCAUCAAUAAAUAAAUGGAUGAAGAAAGUGUGGUAUAUGUACACAAUGGUAAACUAUUCAGCCUUAAAACAAAACAAAACAAAACAAAACAAAAAGAAGGAAAUCCUGUCGUUUUCGAAAACGCAGAUGAACCUGGAAGUCAUCGUGCUAAGUGUACUAUUCUUUACCUUAGUUACAGCUCCUGGGGCUUGCAGGGACCCAGUGAGAUAUCUCUGGGGUCAGGAGACUGCUGAGGCUGAUUGGGUCCCAGGCACAGGCCAAACCAAAGCGACCAGAAUUCAGGGUUGAGAGGAAACCCCAGUGGUGGCAAACAAAAUAAAGAUGAUUUUCAGGGUCAAAGGGCAGGGCAAGUCCAGAAAUUGAAACGGAAGCAAUGGAUUUGAAAGCAGCGUGAAACAAAAGUAGUAUGGAAAAUAGCACCGAAUGGGUCAUACCAAGUAGCUCAGAUCCAACCCAUGAAACGGAAGCAAACAGUGAGUUUCCCCUUUAAAGCAGUGCUGGGGACAGGACUAGGCUUAGGGAGACCGCAGGGGAGAUGCUUAGCGUGUUUCCGAAAUGUACCUUUAAUUAUUAAGUGAGACCCGUGCACCAGCCUAUGAGCCAGGGCUCAAAAAAGAUUACUUCACUAUAAGCGCUAGGGAAAAGGGCAAAGCAAACCAGUAGUAUUUUUCAUCUUAUAUAACGCAGUCCCUAGUCAGCCUUAACUACAAGAGAAAUACGGUUUAGGUGUUCCCUUCUGUCAUUCAUGCUUGCUGGAAAAGGAAUCUUUGGUGUUUCUGAAAAAUUGGACACAGCUAAGGAAGCUGUGCACUGGCCAGAAGACACAUUGUGCCAGGGAAUGCUGAAAAGGUGGGACUGUGACCAUCAGCAGACGGUUUGGGGCCUGGGGGUGUCUUGGGUCUGGGUGAGCUCUCUUAGCCCCUUCCUCUGGCUCUUUCACUUCUAAGACAAUGUUGCGGGGAGAUGGCUGUGGCUACAUCCUUGUCUGUGCUCCUCUCUCAAGCCUUGCAUCUUCAUUAUCUGACGGCCGCAGGGAAGGUGUUCUGGCUAAACCAGAAGUUUUUGGUCCAGCUCUUGCUCUUGCUCCCUUGCCUGCCAGGCUAUAGGGAAAUUGGGAAAAUAAAGCAGCCACAGUCAUGCUUGUAUCUGGGUGUUCCACGAGUCCUUGGGGAAAUGGUACCGUGAGAAUACAACGUAGACUUAGAAAAGCACUUCUCAGUUUGCAAAGUUCUUCUAUCUAUCUAUCUUAGUGAGAAGGAAGCUCUCUACACUUAGCAAGUGAGCCAACUAAAGCCCUCCAACAUGCCCCUCCAGGCUCAUUAGAGACUACACUCCCCUAGCACACACUAGGGACCAGCUAUAGUAACUUUCCCCUGUUCCUUGAGCACUCCAAACUCAUGCCUCCUCAAGGCCUUGGCAGCUCCUGUUCCCCACUCCUGGAAAGUGCUUCCCUCGGCUAUUCACAUGCUAGCUCCUUCUUUUCCCUCAAGUCUCAGCUCAAAUGUCAUCUUCUCAGAAAGCCUUCCGUGUUCACUCUCAAUCAAGUAACCCCACUUCCUUCAGAAUAAAAAGCACUAAAAUUCAAAGCCAGACCAUUCUUCUUGUGAAGGAAUGGGAGGGCCAUUGGGAAAGAACCCAAUGGUGAGAUCCAAUGGGAAAACUUUUUAGUCGUUUUUAACCUUAUAAAGUAAGAGUGAAUUUCCCAGUUACACGGUCACAAAAAUUUGAAAACUGAUCAUCUAUAAUUGCCUAAAUUAGCACUGGGCGCCACCUUGAUGGAUAAGUGAGUCCCACUUCUGAAUGGCAUGAGGGCAGUAGUGUGUGCAUCCCCUGGAUGCUCCUACCUAAUGGCAUAGGGUGCUGACAGAGAGGCGGCAGAUAGCAUGAAGCUAGUGGAGGAGGCUUGUGAGGAAUGUUCUGAUUAAUUCUUGCAAGAACACUUUGUCUGAGACCAAGAAUUCUGUGAUGAGUUAGGUGGGAGAACUUUUAGGCUGUUGCCUGAAGAACGUGGUUUUAGUAUUCUAAGGGUGGUGGUUGUAAUCCGGAAUCCUCUCCCACAUAGCCAGGGUGGAGAGCAAGCAAAGGGAGACUCUUUGUCUCAGCAUUUAUCCUACAUACUUGCAUUUAUCACAAAACAUCCACGUUCAGUGGUGAACUCCUACCUCCUGGCCACCCAUACAGGUCCUCCAUGCCGUGCCUUUUACAUGUGUGCACAAAAGAGAGAGCCCAUCAGGUCCCUAGAAAGAGCUAACAGCUGAAGAGAGGAACAUGCACUGGAUUGAGAGUCAGAGGACUGGGCUUGGAUUCUAAAUCCACACCUUCCUCGCUGAGUUAUUUAAGCAAACCAUGUUAGCCCUCUGAGCAUCACUUUCCUCACCUAUAGAACAAGGGCUUGAAUCUAACCUUAAUCUGCAAUUCUAGAUUGCUCAAAGAACAAAUGAGAUAAUAUACUCAAAAGUCCAAGGUAAUCUGUAAAGAACUACACCAAUAUGGGAUUCAAAAAACAAUUCUACUUAAUAAAAAAAAAGAGUGCCAAAGAGUUUCUGAAGAUACACAAAUAAUCUCUUUCCUUUAAGAGCCCCUGGCGAUUUGGUAGCACUGUAUGAUAAUCAGUAGCAGCAUCAAUUUUACAAAAAGACUCACACUGGGAUACCUGUGAAUAAGAGACCUCCUCGAAGUUUUGAGAAUGAUUUGGUUUGGAAAUAUUCAGAAGCUCUAUUCACCCUAUAUCCCUAGAUGCAUCAAUUGAGCAUGGUUCUAUCGUUAUAAGUGUAUUCUUUGUUUGUCCUUUUAUUUGAUAGUUGGCCUUCUGCCUUCCUUCCACCUCCCCAACCAUCUGGGAGCUGUAUUUGUUAGAAAGUUAUGACUCUUCAAUCAGUAACUACCACUUAUUGACUUUCUAGAAGGUGCUGAGCAAAGUACUAGCAGUUUUCAUUCGUUAUAGCUUAUCCUUGCAAUGACCUAGAAGGUGAGUACUACAUGUAUCUCCAUUUUACAUAAAAGGACACUUGUCUCAGAGAAGUUAAGUGACUUUGCCAGGGUCACACAGUGCUGAAGUGACACAGCAGGCUAUUUUGGCUCCUAAGCCCUCAUUUUAUCCACUGCCUGGGAAAGACAGCAGGGUUUCCUACCAACACAGUGUCUUCUGCUUCCUCUACCAUAGACUUGUUCAUGAAGUGCUAUCAUACUCUCCCACCCAUCCCCGGCUCCUCUUUGCCAGUGGCUCCAGGCCCAGACCCAUGCAGCCUUCCACGCAGCCCGUUCUGACUUCCUCUGAAGUCAGCCAUCCAAGUAAAGUUCACUUGAAGCAGAACCGCAGGAGUUUCCACUCCGCAGAGGACUCCAGUCUUGCCAAGUUCUCCACCAGCCAGGCUCCUGGAGGUGAUGAUCCUGAAUUGAUUGGGUAUUCAGCUAAUUAUUUUGGAGAGGAAUUGACAUAAGGUUUGGAUGUAUUGCACCACUGACCUUUAGCAACAACGAGGCCAAGGCUACAGGAAUAGCAGUGAACCCUAAUUUAGGCUUGCAUCUGCCAGGCAAAGAAAACAUGCUGCCAGGAGAAAGCAGUAGAUGGUUUAAUCUUCCAAGAGGUCUUCCUGAAGAACAUUUUAUUCCAUUUCUUAAUGAAAUUGCCCAAAUUUUGGAUUUAUCCUGCAGUUCCAGAGGCUCAGAAACCUGAUUUGAUCAGCCUCCAAGAGCUGUUCCUUCUCUCCUACACACCAACAGUAAUCUCCUGGAAGCUGUAUUACUCAGAUGUUACUAUACAGUGAGAUUAAGAAGCUACCAGCACAUGAACGUGGAAUCCUCACAUUGGCCCAGCCAAGGCAUUCUCUCACCCUGGCUGCAGUGCUUGAGAUGUCACGUUCACACUCUGAAGGUUGCCAGAUUUAAGAUCUGUGGUUGGAUUAAGAUCAGCUGACUCUCACCGACCUGGGAGCCAUCCUGUCUCCUCACUAAUCCUCUUGUCCCUAUCUUAAACUUUAACUCUCAGAGGAUAAUUUUGUCACAUUUCCAAGGUCUCUCAAGGAGUUCCUUGUGAUCCUGCGUACUGGUAACAAUGGUUCUCCUUAAAAAUAGUCUGCUACAGUGAAAUGAACAUAAAAAUCUAUAGUCUAGAAACCCAAGUUAAAAAUAAACUCAGACGCUUUGACUUUGAUAAAAUGAACGUCAUCAUCUGUUAAAUGAGAAUGAAAUGCUAAUAACUACUCCUCCAGCAUAGCGGCAAGGGUCAAGUGAGGUCAGGAGUGUUGUCUACCCCAUACAACAUGUUAGGCAUUAUUUUUCUUCUUCUUAUAGUCUGGGAAUAAGAAAGACACAAUUUGACUCUCAUUAAAGCAGUUUGUAAUUGACGCAAGCAGAAAAACCACCUUUCAAAUAUGAGACAGGAUGAAACACUCAGCCACUAAGGAGCUGUCCUCUUCCAGACCAUCCACAUCUCUUUUGUAUCUGAAAUACUGGCCCCAGAAUUCCCUAGAGGAUAUGUCUGAGGAAACAUUUGGAUGAAUUUCCUAAAGACCCGUCUGGGGAGAGGUUCAAUGUUUUUGCCCCAUCUUGCAUAUAAACUUGAAGUUUCAGUGAUAUGAAAGCCAAGAAUUGGGUGGAGAUUCAACCAGAAAAUAGCCAGACUUUCUAGAUACCAGAAGGAGUUCACUUGGGGUUGGACUGAUUUAGCCAUCAUGUAGUAGCAGACACAUGGAUUUUUUUUAAUGAGUACUAACCAGCCCACUCCUCGUAGAGUAUGAACAGUAUUUGGCAAAUGAAUCUACCAGCUAGAUGGUCAUCAUCUGGGGUCAGCUUGAAAGUGGCCACCCAAAAAAAAAAAAAAAAAAAAAAAAAACGCGAGGUCCUUGCAAAAUAACAGCUGUUUUUAACUGCAGAAUGGUAUGCUGUUGAAACCAAAGCAGAUGUUGUCUUAUAGCUUUUUCAUUCUAUGACCAGCAUUGACUCUGAUGCCUCAUACUUCCUAACAUUGCUUCAGCAAGAUAGAUCUUGUGACCAUAAUCCCCUGGUGCCAAGAUCAUUUUCUGUCUUCUUAUCUUUGCUCAUCCUGUUAUCUGUCAACAAUUAGCAGGGAAGGAGGGAACACAGUGUCUUAUCUAUAAAUCCCUAGUAUCUAGCAUGGUAUCUAGGGCAAGAAGUAGCUUGAGUGUUGGGUGGGUGAAUGAGUCAGUGAAUGAAUAAAUGGCAAGUAAACAAAUGACUAAAUUAGUGAAUGAAUAAAUGGCAAGUAAACAAAUGACUAAAUUAGUGAAUGAAUAAAUUAAUAGAAGCCUGUGCUUUCCUUCCUCAAAUAUAAACUAAU